GCCACUGACGAACUGACGUAGUUCUGGAAGAAAUUUGAAUUGGAGUCGAUCAAAUCCUAUCGAAAAAGAUCCGGAAGGGGUCCAGAGAACGGUUGACCCUUGCAGGAGGUCGGUCGAUAGUAGAAUCCAGAGAGCACUUGGGGCAGCCUGAUAGACAACCGAAGAAGCUUAUCGCUGGAGAAGCUCGGAAGAUGUGGCAGGAGUUCGUCCGUCGGGGGAAUUCGAUCGAACUUGUGGAAGAAGCUGUGGGAGUUUAUCCAUCGGCAGAACUUGGGAACAUUGCGGAAGCUCGGUCGUCAGAGAGGUUUGGAAAGAUGUCGCCCAAGGUCAGACGUCGGUAGAACCCCGAGAGGGU
rnacentral:lncRNA from 1 species